GAUGAAGGACGCAGCAAAAUGCGAUAAGUAAUGUGAAUUGCAGAAUUCAGUGAAUCAUCGAAUCUUUGAACGCACAUUGCGCCCGCUGGUAUUCCGGCGGGCAUGCCUGUUCGAGCGUCAUUUCAACCCUCAAGCCCCCGGGUUUGGUGUUGGGGAUCGGCUCUGCCCUUCUGGGCGGUGCCGCCCCCGAAAUACAUUGGCGGUCUCGCUGCAGCCUCCAUUGCGUAGUAGCUAACACCUCGCAACUGGAACGCGGCGCGGCCAUGCCGUAAAACCCCAACUUCUGAAUGUUGACCUCGGAUCAGGUAGGAAUACCCGCUGAACUUAAGCAUAUCAAUAAGCGGAGGA
rnacentral:misc_RNA from 1 species